rnacentral:rRNA from 1 species
AACGAACGCUGGCGGCAGGCUUAACACAUGCAAGUCGAGCGCCCCGCAAGGGGAGCGGCCGCCGGGUGAGUACCGCGUGGGAACGUACCUUUUGGUUCGGAACAACUCCGGGAAACUGGAGCUAAUACCGGAUAAGCCCUAACGGGGAAAGAUUUAUCGCCGAAAGAUCGGCCCGCGUCUGAUUAGCUAGUUGGUGAGGUAACGGCUCACCAAGGCGACGAUCAGUAGCUGGUCUGAGAGGAUGAUCAGCCACACUGGGACUGAGACACGGCCCAGACUCCUACGGGAGGCAGCAGUGGGGAAUAUUGGACAAUGGGCGCAAGCCUGAUCCAGCCAUGCCGCGUGAGUGAUGAAGGCCUUAGGGUUGUAAAGCUCUUUUGUCCGGGAAGAUAAUGACUGUACCGGAAGAAUAAGCCCCGGCUAACUUCGUG